CCUACCCUAUGUCACUGUGAGUGUAGGAGCGCUGACUGCUCCUGCCCAAUCAUGCCUGGAAUGCUGCUUGCCACUUGGGCUAUUUCUGCUAUCUGUCGCUCCCAGGGCUGCAGUGCUAACCGUUUGGCAGAUGGGACACUUUCUCGGAGUUUAUGUCUUUGGUUUUUAACUUCUGGCAGUGCCUGAAUUGUUGCUGUUCUCCCUCUCCUUUUCUCCUCUCUGUAAAACCAUGGCCCAUCGGCUGCGGUUUCAUUUUGGCUCUGGGAGAAGCAACACAGCCCCCGAAUCGGAGAUCCUUGCCCGGGAGAGAGAAGAUGACUUUUUCAUGGCAUUCCACACCUUGCCAAGAAGAAGCAGCCCUCACGCGUUCUCGCGGCACGGAGCGGAUUAUGGCGGCGAUGGAGAUUUGCACGAAGUGGGCUCCUUGAAAAGGAGCACAUCCAUGUUUAUCCCGCAGCUGCUGAACGGCGUCGACGCACGCCCCACCAGGAGCUCGUCCAUGCAGAUCUCGCUGCAGCGCAAAGCUGCCGACGGCUGCGCCGACGAGUGCGCGGCCCUGGAGUCUCCGGAGGAGACGCUUCCCCGGAAAUUCUCAGACUUCAGGGAGCGUUAUGCAUCCCCUGUUGAAAAGCGCUCUUCUCCGAGCGCUCCACAGGUGACUCCUGAAAGUUCUUCGCCCAGGCUGACGGAAGAGCUGGGGCAGCAGACAGAUGGAACUGUUUGCUGUAAUCGUAGAAUGUUUUGUAGUACUAAUCCACAGAGUGAGGAGGCUCUGCUGACUGCCCAACGAGAAGAAGCAAGUGAAGCGGCUUCAGGUGUAAACAUAAGUGGUGUGAGAAUUCAGCAUCGGGCCUCAAGUGCAGAGGUGCCUCAAGUUACUCUACUUCCCUUUGGUCCUGAGGCUCCAAAUAGUGCUCCCACCUCUGAACCCCGGCGCUGGUCCUUGCAGCAUGUGCCAGAUCAGUCAACAAAUUCAGGGAAAAAGUUCUUUGUUCUCCAGUUACAGCAGCCACAGACAAGCAGUACAGGCGCAGGAGGUGGAGGUAACUUUGGCUUUACUGGAACAAAAGGGGACAGAUUGGUCAGGUACCCUCGGAUACGGCUGGAAAGGAGUACUUCCUAUCCUGUCCAGCCACCAGCAGAAGGAAUUAGCCCCACAGGUGAUGGGCUGAAUUCGGAGCUGCCUGGAAACAGCAGGAACAGGGCAGAAAUACCUAGAAGCAAUUCAGUAGAGCGGAUGCCUCAAGGGCAGGGAUGCUUGUUUAAAAUCAGACCAGAUCAAAACAUGAGGCAGCAGCACUUCAGGAUUCUUGUCACGCGUGGGCCGGAAGAACAAAGUCAGGGUGUUGGUAAGGAGGGUCGUGGCACGCCUGGUCCUACGGCAGCCGGCACCGCAACCAGAGACGACUUCCUGGGCCAGGUGGAUGUGCCGCUCAGUCACCUCCCGACUGAAGACCCAACCAUGGAGAGGCCAUACACAUUUAAGGAUUUCCUCCUCAGACCAAGAAGCCACAAAUCUCGUGUGAAGGGUUUCUUGAGACUGAAGAUGGCGUAUAUGCCCAAAAAUGGUGGCCAAGAGGAAGAAAAUAGUGAUCAGAGGGAUGACUCUGAGCAUGGCUGGGACGUGGUGGAUUCCAGCGAUGCCGCAUCUCAGCGUCAGGAGGAGCUGCCGCCUCCUCCGCUGCCUCCUGGGUGGGAAGAGAAGGUGGACAACCUGGGGCGGACUUACUACGUGAACCACAACAACAGGAGCACCCAGUGGCACCGGCCCAGCCUCGUCGACGUGGGAUCCGAGUCAGAUAACAAUAUCAGACAGAUAAACCAAGAGGCAGCUCACAGGCGGUUCCGCUCUCGGCGCCACAUCAGUGAGGAUUUGGAGCCAGAGCCUGUGGAGAGUGGAGACAUUCCUGAGCCUUGGGAAACCAUUUCAGAGGAGGCAAGUGCCAGUGGGGAUUCCUUAAGCUUGUCACUGCCACCUCCUCCUGCAUCUCCAGUGUCCCGGACCAGUCCUCAGGAGCUGUCUGAGGAGCUGAGCAGAAGACUCCAGGUCACUCCUGAUUCCAAUGGGGAACAACUCAGCUCUUUGAUUCAAAGAGAACCUUCUUCACGACUGAGGUCCUGCAGUGUGACAGACACAGUCGCUGAACAGUCCCAGUUAUCCCUGCAGAAUGGUCCCUCUAGGAGAGCUCGUUCUUCAACUGUCACAGGGGGAGAGGAGCCAACGCCUUCUGUGGCUUACGUGCACACCACGCCGGGCUUACCUUCGGGCUGGGAGGAGCGCAAGGACGCCAAGGGCCGCACCUACUACGUCAACCACAACAACCGGACCACAACGUGGACACGGCCCAUCAUGCAGCUCGCCGAGGACGGGAUGGUGGGGCCGGGCACGAGCAGCAGCAACCACCUGAGCGAGCCGCAGAUCCGGCGGCCCCGCAGCCUCAGCUCCCCCACUGUCACCCUGUCAGCGCCGCUCGAGGGCAUGAAGGACUCUCCGGUGCGCAGGGCGGUGAAGGACACCCUGUCCAACCCUCAGUCCCCACAGCCAUCCCCCUACAACUCCCCCAAGCCCCAGCACAAGGGGGCCCAGAGCUUCCUGCCCCCGGGCUGGGAGAUGCGCAUCGCCCCGAACGGCCGCCCCUUCUUCAUCGACCACAACACCAAGACCACCACCUGGGAGGAUCCACGGCUGAAGUUUCCAGUGCAUUUGAGAUCCAAAGCAUCUCUGAACCCCAAUGACUUGGGCCCUCUUCCUCCUGGCUGGGAGGAAAGAAUACACCUGGAUGGAAGAACAUUUUAUAUAGACCAUAGAAGCCAGGUGUUGAUAUGUGGAGACAUUGAUACCAGAGACUUAGUGCCCUCCUACGAUAAUAAAAUUACCCAGUGGGAAGACCCCAGGCUGCAGAACCCUGCCAUCACGGGCCCAGCAGUGCCGUACUCCAGGGAGUUCAAGCAGAAAUACGACUACUUCCGCAAGAAGUUAAAGAAACCUGCUGACAUACCCAACAGAUUUGAGAUGAAAUUACACAGAAAUAACAUCUUUGAGGAGUCCUACAGAAGAAUCAUGUCUGUGAAGAGACCUGAUGUACUAAAAGCCAGGCUCUGGAUUGAAUUUGAGUCAGAAAAAGGACUUGACUAUGGAGGUGUGGCCAGAGAAUGGUUUUUUCUCUUGUCCAAGGAGAUGUUUAACCCUUACUAUGGUCUCUUUGAAUACUCAGCAACGGACAACUAUACACUUCAGAUUAAUCCUAAUUCAGGUCUCUGUAACGAAGACCAUCUAUCAUACUUCACCUUCAUUGGCCGGGUGGCCGGCCUGGCUGUGUACCAUGGGAAGCUGCUGGACGGCUUCUUCAUCAGACCUUUCUACAAGAUGAUGCUGGGGAAGCCCAUAACGCUGAAGGACAUGGAAUCAGUGGAUAGUGAAUACUACAACUCUCUGAAGUGGAUCCUGGAAAAUGACCCUACGGAGCUGGAUCUCAUGUUUUGCAUAGACGAGGAAAACUUUGGACAGACAUAUCAAGUGGACCUGAAGCCCAAUGGGUCUGAAAUCAUGGUAACAAAUGAAAACAAGCGGGAAUACAUUGACCUGGUCAUCCAGUGGCGGUUUGUCAACAGAGUGCAGAAACAAAUGAAUGCCUUUCUGGAGGGAUUCACAGAACUGCUUCCUAUUGAUCUGAUUAAAAUUUUUGAUGAAAAUGAACUGGAGUUACUGAUGUGUGGCCUUGGUGACGUCGAUGUCAAUGACUGGAGACAACACACCAUCUACAAAAAUGGUUACUGCCCAAAUCAUCCAGUUAUCCAGUGGUUCUGGAAGGCUGUUCUGCUGAUGGAUGCUGAGAAACGGAUCCGGCUGCUGCAGUUUGUGACCGGGACGUCACGCGUGCCUAUGAACGGAUUUGCUGAACUUUAUGGUUCAAAUGGUCCUCAGCUGUUUACAAUAGAGCAGUGGGGAAGUCCUGACAAGCUGCCCCGAGCUCACACCUGCUUUAACCGCCUAGACUUACCUCUGUAUGAAUCUUUCGAGGACCUGCGGGAGAAGCUCCUCAUGGCUGUGGAGAAUGCCCAAGGGUUUGAAGGGGUGGAUUAACUUUGCAGCACCCGUUCCCUCUCCAAGCACGUUCUGCUGGCUUUGGCACCUGCCCGAGGGACUCCGAGGGCUUGUGGCAUAGCAGCCGCCCGGCGCUGGGCUCUGGAGCAAAGCCCGGCAGAGCGGGGGCCGAGCCCCGAGGCUGGGACUGUCACCUGGGGUGGCCUUGCUGAUGUUCCCGCACCAGUUGCGAACUGAUCACAUUUCAGCAGGACUUACUCUAUUUAUGUUGUGCCUCUGUAGGCAAAGCCCUUAAUAAAUAUUUUACACAAUUUCUAAUGACAAUGAAUGGAAUUAAUCAUUUUACAGUGCAGUGACAUGGUGACAGCACUGCUGGAGCUGGUUCCACUGACCUGCAGCUCUGCCCCACCUGUUCCCCAGCAUCCAAGAAAGAUGACAUCACUUGCCAAAACAAACUUCCACCUCAUCGCCAACAGUUUUUGAGCCCUGGCCUUACCUGUGUGUCCAGCCUGCAUCCAGCCACCCUGCGGAGCCUUGGAUACAGGGUCACCCAGCUGGGAGGAAGCCUCACUGCCAGUAGCAUUCAGCAGUUAUGGUCCCAGUCCUGAGGAAGAUUAGGGCAGUACUUGAAUGCAGUUCAAGAUUCCUUCUCCAUUAAAUAUGCUUCCUGACA